GCCGACGGUGUGGCGGACCCAGAAGGAACCGGCCUUCGCCGCGGCCGCUGACGACGGCGGCGGCGGCGGUGGCGGCUUGGCCGAUUGCUUCCGGGAGCUGCGAGAGCGGUGGAUGAGGCUGUCGAGGUCGCUGUUGAUCCGCUCGAUCUCGUAGCGGUCGAAGAGAGAGAGGGAGGCGCUUCGUACGAGAGGCUUCUUUUCAGGGUAGUGGACGGCGGCGGCGCCACCGGCAGCGGCGAUGGCGGCAGCGGCCUCAGCCUCGAGCCUGUAGCGGGAAGGGCGGCAGCGGCGGCGGGGGGGAGCGGCGGCGCCGCCGGCAGCUUCGAAUGGGUGGACGAGCCUGCCUUCUUUGGCGGUGGUGUGCUGGUGCCACGCCCAUGCGGCGGCCUUUGCCAGCGCGAGAUCCUCCCCGGG
rnacentral:lncRNA from 1 species